UCCUACGGGGCGCAGCAGUGAGGAAUAUUGGUCAAUGGUCGGGAGACUGAACCAGCCAAGCCGCGUGAGGGAUGAAGGUACAGAGUAUCGUAAACCUCUUUUGUCAGGGAACAAAGGCGGGGACGUGUCCCCGGAUGAGUGUACCUGAAGAAAAAGCAUCGGCUAACUCCGUGCCAGCAGCCGCGGUAAUACGGAGGAUGCGAGCGUUAUCCGGAUUUAUUGGGUUUAAAGGGUGCGCAGGCGGUCUGUUAAGUCAGCGGUCAAAGUCCGGGGCUCCACCCCGGCCCGCCGUUGAAACUGGCAGU
rnacentral:rRNA from 1 species